rnacentral:misc_RNA from 1 species
GAUGAAGAACGUAGCGAAAUGCGAUAAGUAAUGUGAAUUGCAGAAUUCAGUGAAUCAUCGAAUCUUUGAACGCACAUUGCGCCCGGCAGUACUCUGCCGGGCAUGCCUGUUCGAGCGUCAUUUCAACCCUCAAGCCCUGCUUGGUGUUGGGGUCCCACGGCCGCCGUGGGCCCUGAAAGGAAGUGGCGGGCUCGCUACAACUCCGAGCGUAGUAAUUCAUUAUCUCGCUUAGGGCGUUGGGCGGAGCUCCUGCCGUUAAAGAACCAUCUUUAACUCAAGGUUGACCUCGGAUCAGGUAGGAAUACCCGCUGAACUUAAGCAUAUCAAUAAGCGGAGGA